rnacentral:rRNA from 1 species
AUACGUUUCCUAAAAGUGACGGAGAAUGCUAGUCAUAUAAGCUGACGGAAUAGCUGAGUGGAUCCUUCGGGUGAAGCGUAAUGAUGAAAGUUCUUCCAAGAAGAGCGAGUAUAGCAGCCGGUACCGCAAACCGACACAGGUAGACGGGAUGAAUAUUCUAAGGCGCUCGGGUGAGCCGUGGAGAAGGAACUAGGCAAAUUGACGCUGUAACUUCGGGAUAAAGCGUACCAUCUUCGGAUGGUCUCAGUAAAAUGGUUCAACCAACUGUUUAACAAAAACACAGGGCCCUGCAAAAUCGAAAGAUGACGUAUAGAGCCUGAUACCUGCCCGGUGCUGGAAGGUUAAGGAAGGAUGUUCGGCGCAAGCCAAAGCUUCUGACUGAAGCCCCAGUAAACGGCGGCCGUAACGAUAACGGUCCUAAGGUAGCGAAAUUCCUUGUCGGGUAAGUUCCGACCUGCACGAAUGGUCUAAUGAGUUGAACGCUGUCUCCUCCACGAGCCCGGUGAAAUUGUAGUAUCGGUGAAGAUGCCGGUUACCCGCCACGGGACGGAAAGACCCCGUGAACCUUCACUAUAGCUUUGCAUUGAUUUUGAAUUACGGAUGUGUAGAAUAGUUGGGACGCUUUGAAGCAUUGCCGCCAGGUAGUGUGGAGCGGUCGUUGAAAUACCAACCUUCUUUGAUUUAGGAUCUAAUCCCUUGCGGGAAACAGUGCAUGGUGGGUAGUUUGACUGGGGUGGUCGCCUCCUAAAGAGUAACGGAGGCUUGCAAAGGUACUCUCAGUACGGUUGGUAAUCGUACGAAGAGCGCAUUAGUAUAAGGGUGCUUGACUGUGAGGCACACAAGCCGAGCAGGGACGAAAGUCGGCUAAAGUGAUCCGGCGGUUCUGUAUGGAAGGGCCGUCGCUCAAAGGAUAAAAGGUACUCCGGGAUAACAGGCUGAUCUCCCCCAAGAGCUCAUAUCGACGGGGAGGUUUGGCACCUCGAUGUCGGUUCGUCACAUCCUGGGGCUGGAGAAGGUCCCAAGGGUUCGGCUGUUCGCCGAUUAAAGUGGCACGUGAACUGGGUUCAGAACGUCGCAAGACAGUUCGGUCCCUAUCUGUGGUGGGCGCAAGUAAAUUGAGAGGACAUGACCUUAGUACGAGAGGACCGGGUCGUACGUACCGCUGGUGUAUCAGUUGUGCCGCCAGGUGCAAUGCUGAGUAGCUAUGUACGGACAGGAUAAACGCUGAAAGCAUCUAAGCGUGAAACCUUCCUCAAGAUGAGUUUACUUUUAAGGGCCGUCAGAGACUAUGACGUUGAUAGGCUAC